CAACAACAACAACGGGAAGAAGGAGUGGCAGGAGCAAGAGAAACUAGAAAUUGCAGCAGGCAAGGCGAAACAUGGCAACAUCUUGACUACUGCGGCACACACAUACCCAGACAGAGCAGAGGCAGCAGAGUCUCCAGCUGAGGAGGAGCCAACCGCCCGGGCCAUGUGGCGACUGUCCUGUCCUCGAGAGUGUGAAAAUAAAUUGUGAAAAAGUCGCAGGAGAAGUGAAAAUGGCAACUGGUUUGCAUGUGUCCCCACGACCAACUGGAACUUCAGUGGAACUCCGCUCCAUGGGUCAGGCCGGCGGUAAGCGGAGGCAAGAACGAGCUGUAUAUACAUAUCUUUAAUUGCCAACUUGGCCAGUGACAGGCGGCGAGAAAAAUGAGCGCUGGUGAGGUCCAGCGAGGGAUUCUGGGCGGCCAGCCCAGCUGGUGUCACAUGUCCAUGUCCGGCGCUAGUUGCACUUAAUCACUGCCCCGACCAGCUGGCUGUCGUGGCGGCCCGGAGCAGCCGGAGGGACUUUUGCCCUUUGGGAGUCACCUGAGUGGAGUCCCGGCACUAAGCCAUCCAGGAGAGCACUUUUAUUGGACAGAUUGAGAGCGGGAAAAGGAGCUCCGAGCAAUCCGCGAUGCUCCCCAUGCUGCAGAGAUAUAAAUAUGCAUAGUGUGCACACCAUAGAGUCGGACUACCAGAUGGAUCGACCACAAUGUCGAGCUGCACCCGGAAUUAAGUUAAUUUUAAUUUACGUUGAUUAAUUGCAUUGUCAGGCCAGAUGAAAUGCCCCGGCCUGGUC